GGUUCUUAUUGCUGAAUCCCCUCAUAUCCCGGGGGAGCACAGAAGAACAGGAAAUGCGGGGCAGAGUCCUGGGGGGAAGGUGAAGGAAGGACCCUGGAGAUAAACCUAGAGAGGAGCUUCCGAACGGUGAGCAGCGGCUGCCAUGGUCACUGUGAGCCGUGGAGGGCUGGAGAUGGGACGAGGACAAUUGCUGGCUUCCUUCCCAACACAACCCUGGCUUCCAUGCCCCCCACGGACCCCGUUCAGACACCCUCAGAACUGGGAAGUUCCUAAGGCAGAGAUUUGUUUUUUUAUCUGCCCCGAUUUCGAUGACGACAGGUCAAGACACCUUUUGGCAACCUGCCUUGGGUUGAAGCUUAUCCCACACUAUCCACAAUCCCCUGCCUCGCAGCUACAGGCCCCCCUCUGGUAACCCCACCCUGAGACGCGUGGAGAAAGAAAGAGGUCACAGGAAUGAGGUUAUUAUCCCGGCAAAUGCCAACACAUUCCCAAACCUAGGUACGCUGCCCUCUGGGCUCCCAAGACUACCCCAUCUUGGGGAGCAGGGCCAAGGAGCACUGAGGAGGACAAGGCCAGAGAGGAAGAAAGCUCAGUGUAAGAGUUACAGGCGACCAGGCUGCCCCACGCACGGUUACCACAGAGAAACCAGAUUAAAAUGCAACCGCUGGGCCACCUCCAAAGGAAACUCAAAUCCCAGAGCGGGGACCUUUCUGCGGCCCCACGCAGCCAGCCGGACGACUGAGAAUCCACAGGGCUGUGUGCCCUUUCCUCGGUGGGCACUGCGGGGGUCUGGGGGGCCGCUGGCAUGUAUGCAAAAUUCAUCAGUCAAAUCUUGUUUUCCCAGCACCAGCUGGCACAGAUGGCCUCCCCUCCAACUUCCUCAGGCUUCCUGAGUCACUGCCCAGCCCUAGGACUGGCAACACACUGGACCCGCUCCCCCCCCCAUCCACCCUUGGCAAGAAGGGAAGAGAAGAACCCUGCAGAGAUGUGAUGCCCUGCUCCCAGCUGCAGGUCCACAGUCCGUCCAGGCCUCGAGAUGGGGUGACCUGCCUGGGCCAAGCAGGGUCCCGUUCAGCAGCAGGCCGGUGAGGAGUUGGCAAGAAAUGACGUCCCCGGCCAGCCUGGCCUCCUCUUGGUAUUUUUGCAGCUGGAGAUUAUUAGUCGUAAGCAAACUCCUUUGUUAUACAACCCCCACCCACCACCACCACACUUUUUUCCUCUCUCCUAAAGUUCAGAUUCCUCUGCCUCUCCCCAUCCCCAUCAGCCACAGGCCACGACUCCAAAGCUGCGCAGAGAGGAGGUCAUAUUCCUCACUGUCCAUGAGCAGUCUCUGGGGUACUAGCCUUGGUCCUACAGCUUGGGGUUCAGGUGGAGCCCUGGGCUUGGGUCUACAGGAGCCGAAUAUUCCUGCUCCGUAAACCUAGAUGGCAUGGUGACAUGCAUUUGUAUGUAAUCCCAGCACUUAAGAGGAGGGGGAGG